rnacentral:rRNA from 1 species
UACGGAGGGUGCAAACGUUGCUCGGAAUCAUUGGGCGUAAAGCGCACGUAGGCGGCCUGAUAAGUCGGGUGUGAAAGCCCUGGGCUCAACCCAGGAAGUGCACUCGAAACUGUCAGGCUUGAAUAUGGAAGAGGGUCGCGGAAUUCCCGGUGUAGAGGUGAAAUUCGUAGAUAUCGGGAGGAACACCAGUGGCGAAGGCGGCGACCUGGGCCAUAUUGACGCUGAGGUGCGAAGCGUGGGGAGUC